GUGGGGAAUUUUGGACAAUGGGCGCAAGCCUGAUCCAGCAAUGCCGCGUGCAGGAAGAAGGCCUUCGGGUUGUAAACUGCUUUUGUACGGAACGAAACGGUCCUGGCUCAUAUCCGGGGCUAAUGACGGUACCGUACGAAUAAGCACCGGCUAACUACGUGCCAGCAGCCGCGGUAAUACGUAUGGUGCGAGCGUUAAUCGGAAUCACUGGGCGUAAAGCGUGCGCAGGCGGUGCUGUAAGACAGGCGUGCAACACCCGGGCUCAACCUGGGAAUUGCGCUUGUGACUGCAGUGCUGGAGUGCGGGAGAGGGGGAUGGAAUUCCGCGUGUAGCAGUGAAAUGCGUAGAUAUGCGGAGGAACACCGAUGGCGAAGGCAAUCCCCUGGGCCUGCACUGACGCUCAUGCACGAAAGCGUGGGGAGCAAACAGGAUUAGAUACCCUUGUAGUCC
rnacentral:rRNA from 1 species